rnacentral:rRNA from 1 species
UAAUACGGGGGGGGCAAGCGUUGUUCGGAAUUAUUGGGCGCAAAGGGCGUGUAGGCGGCCCUGCAAGUCUUUCGUGAAAUCCCACAGCUCAACUGUGGAACUGCGAGGGAAACUGCGGGACUUGAGUCCGGGAGAGGAGAGUGGAAUUCCCAGUGUAGCGGUGAAAUGCGUAGAUAUUGGGAGGAACACCGGUGGCGAAGGCGGCUCUCUGGACCGGUACUGACGCUGAGGCGCGAAAGCUAGGGGAGCAAACGGGAUUAGAUACCCCGGUAGUCCUAGCCUUAAACGAUGAGCACUUGGUGUGGCGGGUAUCGACCCCUGCCGUGCCGAAGCUAACGCAUUAAGUGCUCCGCCUGGGGAGUACGGUCGCAAGGCUG